UACGUGCCAGCAGCCGCGGUAAUACGGAAGGUCCAGGCGUUAUCCGGAUUUAUUGGGUUUAAAGGGAGUGUAGGCGGUUUGUUAAGCGUGUUGUGAAAUUUAGGUGCUCAACAUUUAACUUGCAGCGCGAACUGUCAGACUUGAGUACACGCAACGUAUGCGGAAUUCAUGGUGUAGCGGUGAAAUGCUUAGAUAUCAUGAAGAACUCCGAUUGCGAAGGCAGCAUACGGGAGUGUAACUGACGCUUAAGCUCGAAGGUGCGGGUAUCRAACAGGAUUAGAUACCCUGGUAGUCCGCACAGUAAACGAUGGAUGCCCGCUGUUGGUACCUGGUAUCAGCGGCUAAGCGAAAGCAUUAAGCAUCCCACCUGGGGAGUACGCCGGCAACGGUGAAACUCAAAGGAAUUGACGGGGGCCCGCACAAGCGGAGGAACAUGUGGUUUAAUUCGAUGAUACGCGAGGAACCUUACCCGGGCUUGAA
rnacentral:rRNA from 1 species